CCUACGGGAGGCAGCAGUGGGGAAUUUUGGACAAUGGGGGCAACCCUGAAUCCAGCCAUGCCGCGUGAGUGAAGAAGGCCUUCGGGUUGUAAAGCUCUUUCAGUCGGGAAGAAAAGGUUGCGACUAAUACUUGUAAUCCAUGACG
rnacentral:rRNA from 1 species